AUGGCUUCUCAGUCUUUUGGCUAAGAUCAAAUGUAGUUUCUGUUCUUAUCAGUUUAAUAUCUAAUAUGUCCUCUAUCUAAAAUGUGUAACAUUUUUUCAUAAAACUCAU
rnacentral:snRNA from 1 species